UACGUAGGCAGCGAGCGUUGUUCGGGGUUACUGGGCGUAAAGAGUGCGUAGGCGGUUUUCUAAGUUUGGUGUGAAAUCUCCCGGCUUAACUGGGAGGGUGCGCCGAAGACUGGAAGGCUUGAGUAUGGGAGAGGUAAGCGGAAUUCCUGGUGUAGCGGUGAAAUGCGUAGAUAUCAGGAGGAACACCGGUGGUGUAGACGGCUUUCUGGACCGACACUGACGCUGAAACACGAAAGCGUGGGUAGCAAACAGG
rnacentral:rRNA from 1 species